rnacentral:lncRNA from 10 species
GACGCUGAGAACUGGCGGAGAGCAGGACCCUGGCAGCGGGCGGGGCGGAGAGAACCCCCACCCGCACUGCAAGGCCUUGAGCACCCGGGCCUUGCGGUUCCUCUGCCGGCUCCAUCCUCCUCCGCCUCUCCUCUCUCCUCCUUCCCUCCGAGGACGCUGGGGACUCUGUUUGCAGCGCGGCUGGAAACCGCCUCCGUGCGCUAAUGAGCGCAAGCAUCCUGAAACGUCAUCAUGAUAGCAUCAGCACUAAGUUGAUGGUAUUAUGGUGAUUUUCAAACUGUGCUGAGUUGUUCAUUUCAUUCGGGCUCCAUAGCACGUAACAAUGAGAGAGAGAAGUCAACGGCAUUCUGAGUCCGAUCUCACUUCAAAUGUGGAAACUUUGCUUUCGUCGGUUUUAAAUAGGAUUACCCAUGUAAGACAUUAUUUAAAGAAAGUUAUCUGCAGCAGUGUCAACGAAGAAGAGCAAAACAACUGAAAAUAUUAUCAUAUGAUUUUUAAAUUAUCUGUCUGUGGUACUUAAGUCUGUGAUGCCAUGCACCAGACAUAAUGCUUAGAAAUAAAACGUAGGUGUUGAACUGAAUAGAUUUUACCCACAAAAAGCACUGAAUGAAUGGAAUAAAGAUACGAUUUGCACUGAGGAGAAGGUACCAGACCUUUGUGUUGGCAACACACAGAUUAUACCAUCAAAACCAUCCACCAACAUUAAUGGCUGAGGCUGCAAGAGAGCGAGCACUCAAGUUAUUUGUUUUCACAGAGGAUUAAUAUACAUUGGAUGGCUCCUCCAAGCUUUCUGAGUGUAUUGGAAGACUGCCACGCCAUAGAGCCAAUUAUAAAAGACUGAGAAUGCUAAGAGAAAAUAAAGUUUGGGGAAACCAAAAAUGCCAUUUGAGCAAGUUAAAAAAAAAAAAACAUCUUUCAUGGUGUUGAAUUUUUUUACUCACAAUCUUUCAACAUCUGCAAUUAGGUUUGUACAUUUAGAUUAUUUAGUGCUCAUGAGCAAAGAUUAAAUGGAUUUUUACAGGAACAAGCGAGGGGAUAGGAUAAAAGCUUUUGGAAUCCUAUGGAACAUCUAAAACAAGGUAAUACAUAUUAAAACAUCACGAAACAGAGUUUUUUUUUUUUUAAUUAAGUGAUUACACAAGUAAGGGUAUUAUACCAUUCCCUCCAGCCACAUGAACAGUUAAAAACAUUUUUAUUGAGUUGCAACAUUGCUUACAGGUAGGCAUGUAAAUUGCACACAUCUUGUGUACUGCUCAAUUCAUUUUUAUGUAUGCAUAUAUCCAUGUACCUCCAAGACUGAGAUCAAGAACUAGAACAUUUCUCAUACUCCAG